ensembl:misc_RNA
UUGAGAUUCUCUGAGAAUUAAAUCCACUGCUUGUCUACAGAAUAGAUAAUGGCAGGGCAACCUUCCCACAUCACUGCCUCCCACCAAUGUGGCUCAGCCCUGACCUGGCAACCAUUCAUGACUGGACAGAGUAGAGUUCAUUCUCUAUAUCCCAUUCAUAGCCACU